rnacentral:misc_RNA from 1 species
CAAACAAACACUUUCCUUCUUCUUCUUCUUUCCUUGCGGUGCUCUCUUUCUCUGUUCUUUCAUUUACAAACGUAUUGCAAUUUCUAAUUUUAACUUAACGCUUCUGCUCUCUUUUCCCUUUCAUUUAUAUAUUAUUCGUCGGUACCUCCAAGGCUUUUCUAAGCCUAUAAACUCCCUUCCUCUGUGUUGAUCGUCCACUCCACUGUUUCUACAUAAUGGCUGGAAAAGUUGUUCCUGCUCAACCUCCUACUUCUUUUGAGUAUGAGCUUUUUGAAGGUGACCCAGAACACCUUAGAACUGUUGUAGCCUCAUCAAACUACUCAACUCCCUGGAUUGACCCUGCAAAAUUGAAACUCAGACACAGAAUCGGAAGGGGUCCUUUUGGGGAUGUCUGGUUAGCCACUUAUCAUCAAUCAACUGAAGAUUAUGAUGAGUAUCAUGAAGUGGCUGUCAAGAUGUUAUAUCCAGUAAAGAAGGAUCAUGUGAAGGUUCUGUUGGAUAAGUUUGAUGAUUUAUUUUCAAAGUGUAGAGGGAUAGAAGGUGUGUGUUUGCUAUAUGGAAUUUCAAUUAUAACCAGCAAGAUAUGCAUUGUUAUGAAGUUCUAUGAGGGAUCAAUUGGUGACAAGAUGGCUCGCAUUAAAGGAGGGAAGCUAUCAUUAGCUGAUGUUUUGAGGCAUGGGAUUCGGUUGGCUCAGGGAAUUUUAGAAUUGCAUGCAAAAGAAAUCCUAGUUUUUAACCUUAAACCUUCAAAUUUCCUUCUUGACGAAAAUGAUCAAG